UACGAAGGGGGCUAGCGUUAAUCGGAAUUACUGGGCGUAAAGCGUGCGCAGGCGGUUUGCUAAGACAGGUGUGAAAUCCCCGGGCUUAACCUGGGAACUGCGCUUGUUACUGGCAGGCUUGAGUGUGGCAGAGGGGGGUGGAAUUCCACGUGUAGCAGUGAAAUGCGUAGAGAUGUGGAGGAACACCGAUGGCGAAGGCAGCCCCCUGGGCUAACACUGACGCUCAUGCACGAAAGCGUGGGGAGCAAACAGG
rnacentral:rRNA from 1 species